rnacentral:rRNA from 1 species
GACGAACGCUGGCGGCGUGCUUAACACAUGCAAGUCGAACGAGAGCGUAGAGAAAGCUUGCUUUUUCUACAAUCUAGUGGCAAACGGGUGAGUAACGCGUAAACAACCUGCCCUACGGAUGGGGACAACAGCUGGAAACGGCUGCUAAUACCGAAUACGUUCCGAAAGUCGCAUGACUAUCGGAAGAAAGGAUGGCCUCUAUUUAUAAGCUAUCGCCGGAGGAGGGGUUUGCGUCUGAUUAGCUAGUUGUAGGGGUAACGGCCCACCAAGGCGACGAUCAGUAGCCGGUCUGAGAGGAUGAACGGCCACAUUGGAACUGAGACACGGUCCAGACUCCUACGGGAGGCAGCAGUGGGGAAUCUUCCGCAAUGGGCGAAAGCCUGACGGAGCAACGCCGCGUGAGUGAAGACGGCCUUCGGGUUGUAAAGCUCUGUUAUACGGGACGAAUAAUCUUGUGGUUAAUACCCAUGAGAAGUGACGGUACCGUAAGAGAAAGCCACGGCUAACUACGUG